AUUGAACGCUGGCGGCAGGCUUAACACAUGCAAGUCGAGCGGAGAUGAGGUGCUUGCACCUUAUCUUAGCGGCGGACGGGUGAGUAAUGCUUAGGAAUCUGCCUAUUAGUGGGGGACAACAUUCCGAAAGGAAUGCUAAUACCGCAUACGUCCUACGGGAGAAAGCAGGGGAUCUUCGGACCUUGCGCUAAUAGAUGAGCCUAAGUCGGAUUAGCUAGUUGGUGGGGUAAAGGCCUACCAAGGCGACGAUCUGUAGCGGGUCUGAGAGGAUGAUCCGCCACGCUGGGACUGAGAGACGGCCCAGACUCCUACGGGAGGCAGCAGUGGGGAAUAUUGGACAAUGGGGGGAACCCUGAUCCAGCCAUGCCGCGUGUGUGAAGAAGGCCUUAUGGUUGUAAAGCACUUUAAGCGAGGAGGAGGCUACUGAGACUAAUACUCUUGGAUAGUGGACGUUACUCGCAGAAUAAGCACCGGCUAACUCUGUGCCAGCCGCCGCGGUAA
rnacentral:rRNA from 1 species